ACUUCAAACCUACGGAUACGCGUCAUCCGCAUCACCGGAAGUUGUUAGCGAUCAGCUGUCUGUAAUUGCAGGUUGCGAUUAGACCUGUUGCUACAUAUCUUUUUUUUACUAUUAUUACUGUCAUUCAAAGUUUGUUUUAUGUACAAUUCACCGAUGGCACCGGCAAAGAAUGGAAUCAGGAGAAGCAUUUUAAAACGGGACACGGACGUACGACAGUUUCUGCACCUUACGCUGCGAAAGUUCGUCUCAUGCCUCCACGUCGCGUCUUUACAAAGUGGCCGAAACAGCGACAGAGGUCCGGAGUGGAAGAUUUUGGAUGUUGCGCAUCGCCCCUCGCGGCCCAGCCUUUUGUCUGCGCUCUUUGUAGUCGCCGAGAUCUCCCGCGUCUACCCCUGGGGUAGCGCGCUCACCUCCGACCUCAUAUUGUUCCUUCCCCAGUGGAGCUGGAUCACAUAAAUGCAGGUGAGCGUCGCAGCGGGAUUGGGGGGCGGGGGGGAGGGGGGCAUUAAUGACCCUGCUUUUUAAUUAUUAUUAUUUUUUUUUUUGUGACUCUUCAAUUAUCCAUUGUAUCCGCAACGCUGUGCUUCACUAUUCACCAUAUAUUCAAGUAUCGGCUGCUAUCGAGAUCAUAUCAUCAUGCCGUUUGACAACAAAAAUGAAAUACAAAAUGCCGGCAUACUUUUGCGCCUCUUGGUGGAAAAUAGUGCUAGUAUUGAAAAAAAAAAAAAAACGGCACUCGUGUACAGUAACCAGCAGAAAGAUCCAUACAAUUUCAGCCAUGUAAAGGUGGCCCGGGGGGGUGAAAAAAAAAAAAUCUGCUUCAUCACAGUCUCACUGGCCCAGUGCAGGAAACUUUAUUAAUGUUAAAAAAAAAAAAAAAUUAAAAAUCAAUAUAUACCGCUCCAGACUAAAAUCCCCAACAACCAAAAUUCCAAAGAAAUAAUUUUCAGUGAUCGACACAAAAAUUUGAAUCUUCCACAAUCUAAACUCUUUUUCAAUUCUCUUUAUAGGAAUAAUUUAUUAUUUUGAUUUUUUUAAAUUUUUUUUUUUUUUUUUUUUUUUUUUUAAGAGGGGACAAACAAAUCUUCAAGUGCCAACCUUCAGCAAGCGGUGGUGACAAAUAAUAAAAUCAUCAUACACAACAGAUGUAAUCAAUAAUAAUAAUAAUAAUAAUAAUAAUAAUAAUAAUGUACACCCGAUAAACACAAUGCCCUACUUGCUCGGAAAAAAAAACAAAAAAAAAAACACUUCAAAACAGAGUAUAGAGGUCAGUAUUUGAAACCAGUCCAGACUUGCACCACUACGUCCAGUCGAGCUCCUCACUCUCUUUGUGCAGCACGGUCGGUCUAUGGGGAGGGGGUGUUUUUUUUUUUUUUUGGGGGGGGGGGGUCAGUUCAUUGGAUUAGGACCCCCAAGUGGACCGCGAUUUUGGAAUCUCCACGGAACCCGGCCUGUUUACUUCAUCACACACACGGUCCCAAAAAUCAGCCCAAAAAGUGAUUCCAAUUUUCAGUUCAUCAAG